AUGGGGUGGGUGACAUUGAUCAGCUGAUCAAAUUAAUCCGUUUUCUUCACUCUGGCUAGUUCAGGAGCAGGAUGAGGAAAAUACUUUGCUUUAGAAGGAACUACAGCAGGCAACUACAUGCAAAACCCGCACAAGACAGAGUGGACAGAUUUCAUGGCGUUCUUACUGAAAGCACAUUUAAUUCUCCCAGGCAGCUGAGUUGUGGAUGCAUCAUUCUGAGUUCUUAUGGACGGUAAUUUUUGAACACUCAAGUUUCCUUAAUGCUAAAGCAGGUUUUCAACAAAUUCUGCCUCCACUGAUUUUACCCAAGUGAAGUAAGGGGGGGCAACAAAAAAACAAACAUUUUUUUGCUUCUUUUUAUGUGCACAAAUACUGCUUUUA